GGGGCAUUAGCGCAGUUGGUAGCGCGUUUGAAUGGCAUUCAAAAGGCCAGGGGUUCGAAUCCCCUAUGCUCCAC
rnacentral:tRNA from 1 species